rnacentral:rRNA from 1 species
UACGUAGGGGGCAAGCGUUGUCCGGAAUCAUUGGGCGUAAAGCGCGUGUAGGCGGCUGGGUAAGUCCGCUCUGAAAGCCCGGGGCUCAACCCCGGGAGGCGGGUGGAUACUGCUCAGCUCGAGUCCGGAAGAGGAGUGUGGAAUUCCUGGUGUAGCGGUGAAAUGCGCAGAUAUCAGGAGGAACACCAAUGGGCGAAGGCAGCUCGCUGGGACGUGACUGACGCUGAGACGCGAAAGCGUGGGGAGCAAACAGG